GACGAACGCUGGCGGCGUGCUUAACACAUGCAAGUCGAACGAAGAGCGAUGGAAGCUUGCUUCUAUCAAUCUUAGUGGCGAACGGGUGAGUAACGCGUAAUCAACCUGCCCUUCAGAGGGGGACAACAGUUGGAAACGACUGCUAAUACCGCAUACGAUCUAACCUCGGCAUCGAGGAUAGAUGAAAGGUGGCCUCUACAUGUAAGCUAUCACUGAAGGAGGGGAUUGCGUCUGAUUAGCUAGUUGGAGGGGUAACGGCCCACCAAGGCGAUGAUCAGUAGCCGGUCUGAGAGGAUGAACGGCCACAUUGGGACUGAGACACGGCCCAGACUCCUACGGGAGGCAGCAGUGGGGAAUCUUCCGCAAUGGGCGAAAGUCUGACGGAGCAACGCCGCGUGAGUGAUGACGGCCUUCGGGUUGUAAAGCUCUGUUAAUCGGGACGAAAGGCCUUCUUGCGAAUAGUGAGAAGGAUUGACGGUACCGGAAUAGAAAGCCACGGCUAACUACGUG
rnacentral:rRNA from 1 species